UACGUAGGGGGCGAGCGUUGUCCGGAAUCAUUGGGCGUAAAGAGCGUGUAGGCGGCUUGGCAAGUCUGACGUGAAAGCCCGCGGCUCAACCGCGGAUUGUCGUUGGAAACUGCCUCGCUAGAGUCCGGAAGAGGAGAGCGGAAUCCUGGUGUAGCGGUGGAAUGCGCAGAUAUCAGGAAGAACACCCGUGGCGAAGGCGGCUCUCUGGGGAGCGG
rnacentral:rRNA from 1 species